UGCAGUCGAGCGAAUGGAUUAAGAGCUUGGUCUUAUGAAGUUAGCGGCGGACGGGUGAGUAACACGUGGGUAACCUGCCCAUAAGACUGGGAUAACUCCGGGAAACCGGGGCUAAUACCGGAUAACAUUUUGAACCGCAUGGUUCGAAAUUGAAAGGCGGCUUCGGCUGUCACUUAUGGAUGGACCCGCGUCGCAUUAGCUAGUUGGUGAGGUAACGGCUCACCAAGGCAACGAUGCGUAGCCGACCUGAGAGGGUGAUCGGCCACACUGGGACUGAAACACGGCCCAGACUCCUACGGGAGGCAGCAGUAGGGAAUCUUCCGCAAUGGACGAAAGUCUGACGGAGCAACGCCGCGUGAGUGAUGAAGGCUUUCGGGUCGUAAAACUCUGUUGUUAGGGAAGAACAAGUGCUAGUUGAAUAAGCUGGCACCUUGACGGUACCUAACCAGAAAGCCACGGCUAACUACGUGCCAGCAGCCGCGGUAAUACGUAGGUGGCAAGCGUUAUCCGGAAUUAUUGGGCGUAAAGCGCGCGCAGGUGGUUUCUUAAGUCUGAUGUGAAAGCCCACGGCUCAACCGUGGAGGGUCAUUGGAAACUGGGAGACUUGAGUGCAGAAGAGGAAAGUGGAAUUCCAUGUGUAGCGGUGAAAUGCGUAGAGAUAUGGAGGAACACCAGUGGCGAAGGCGACUUUCUGGUCUGUAACUGACACUGAGGCGCGAAAGCGUGGGGAGCAAACAGGAUUAGAUACCCUGGUAGUCCACGCCGUAAACGAUGAGUGCUAAGUGUUAGAGGGUUUCCGCCCUUUAGUGCUGAAGUUAACGCAUUAAGCACUCCGCCUGGGGAGUACGGGCCGCAAGGCUGAAACUCAAAGGAAUUGACGGGGGCCC
rnacentral:rRNA from 1 species